GGGGCUGUGGCUCAGCGGUAGAACAUCUGCUUGGGAAUGCAGAAGGUCCCAGGUUCAAUCCCUGGCAUCUCCA